AUAUCUGGUCCCAAGCUGCUCUUUAAAAAAAUUUCCCUUUAGGGCAGUUUGGUGAGACACUAGGCAAUCUCCCUCUGCCUUUCAGGAGGGCAGUUCUGAGCUAAGGGCUGGCUCUUAAAGGCAAAAGAGGACAGU